CUACGGUCAAAAGUAACCUGGUAAGUUUGUUUUUUCAAUUUGUAACCUGAUUCAUGAAAGUUUCUAAUGUUAAUUUUUGUUUCAUGUCUUUUUUAAUAUUGGUUUUUCCUAGGAACCCUUGAUUGUGAGACAAUGUGACCAUCGGUUUCUAAGGUUUUUGUAUUGAUUCUUGAAGGAGUCAUCGGAACUGGCGGCACUUGAAGCAUCCAAAGGAUUCGAGAGACGAUAAUGUUCCCUGUUUCAAAUCUUUUUGAGGUGCUCAGUUUUUCUGUCGACAAGGUGGUUGUGGCGUUUGAUUUAUAUGGUUAGGGUUUUCCAGAAUUGGGCUGACGGGAGAUCCGGGCACUCCAAAUAAGUGAGACAGGCAAGAGUGAGCUACUUCCGUACCAGCUUGAAGGAUUGAAUUUCUUACGUUUCUCAUGGUCUAAAGUCUAAACAAACACAUGUGAUACUUGCAGACGAAAUGGGUCUUGGGAAACGAUACAAAGUAUUGCUUUUUUGGCAUCGUUGUCUAAAGAGAAUGUCUCCCCUCAUUUAGUAGCACCGCUUUCUACAUUAAGGAAUUGGGAACAUUAAUUUGCUAUAUGGGCUGCUAAUAUG